UACAAAAAGCUGCAUUUUUACUAUUUGUUUCUCAUCCUCAUGCCCAACCCCAAGAAAAGUAAGUGCUGAAUUAUCUUUUGCAACCUGUCUUCAGGGAUCAAAGCCUCACUCCAUGGAUAUGGAAAUUAGUUGUUCUACAGUCUUUGACACAAAGCUUACAUCGGGAAGAAGAAGACCAGCACGAUACUCAUUAGAGUCGAACUCCGGCCUAGUUAGAGUCCUCCGGUAACUCUCUG
rnacentral:misc_RNA from 1 species